rnacentral:rRNA from 1 species
AGAGCGAACGCUGGCGGCAGGCCUAAUACAUGCAAGUCGAACGCACCUUCGGGUGAGUGGCGGACGGGUGAGUAACACGUGGGAACGUGCCUUUUGGUUCGGAAUAAUCCGGGGAAACCUGGCCUAAUACCGAAUGUGCCCUUCGGGGGAAAGAUUUAUCGCCAUUAGAGCGGCCCGCGUCUGAUUAGCUUGUUGGUGGGGUAAUGGCCCACCAAGGCUACGAUCAGUAGCUGGUCUGAGAGGAUGAUCAGCCACACUGGGACUGAGACACGGCCCAGACUCCUACGGGAGGCAGCAGUAGGGAAUCUUGCGCAAUGGGCGAAAGCCUGACGCAGCCAUGCCGCGUGAAUGAUGAAGGUCUUAGGAUUGUAAAAUUCUUUCAGCGGGGAAGAUAAUGACUGUACCCGCAGAAGAGCUCCGGCUAACUCGCGCCAGCACGCCGC